GAUGAACGCUGGCGGCGUGCCUAAUACAUGCAAGUCGAGCGAACAGACGAGGAGCUUGCUCCUCUGACGUUAGCGGCGGACGGGUGAGUAACACGUGGAUAACCUACCUAUAAGACUGGGAUAACUUCGGGAAACCGGAGCUAAUACCGGAUAAUAUAUUGAACCGCAUGGUUCAAUAGUGAAAGACGGUUUUGCUGUCACUUAUAGAUGGAUCCGCGCCGCAUUAGCUAGUUGGUAAGGUAACGGCUUACCAAGGCAACGAUGCGUAGCCGACCUGAGAGGGUGAUCGGCAACACUGGAACUGAGACACGGUCCAGACUCCUAAGGGAGGCAGCAGUAGGGAAUCUUCCGCAAUGGGCGAAAGCGUGACGGAGCAACGCCGCGUGAGUGAUGAAGGUAUUCGGAUCGUAAAACUCUGUUAUUAGGGAAGAACAAAUGUGUAAGUAACUAUGCACGUCUUGACGGUACCUAAUCAGAAAGCCACGGCUAACUACGUG
rnacentral:rRNA from 1 species